rnacentral:rRNA from 1 species
AUUGAACGCUGGCGGCAUGCUUUACACAUGCAAGUCGAACGGCAGCGCGGGGGCAACCCUGGCGGCGACUGGCGAACGGGUGAGUAAUGCAUCGGAACGUAUCCUGUAAUGGGGGAUAACGUAGCGAAAGUUACGCUAAUACCGCAUACGCUCGAGAGACGAAAGUGGGGGAUCGCAAGACCUCACGUUAUAGGAGCGGCCGAUGUCCGAUUAGCUAGUUGGUGGGGUAAAGGCCUACCAACGCGACGAUCGGUAGCUGGUCUGAGAGGAUGAUCAGCCACACUGGGACUGAGACACGGCCCAGACUCCUACGGGAGGCAGCAGUGGGGAAUUUUGGACAAUGGGCGAAAGCCUGAUCCAGCCAUGCCGCGUGCGGGAAGAAGGCCUUCGGGUUGUAAACCGCUUUAGUCCGGGAAAAAGGGGUGCGAGGAUAAUACCCUUGUGCUUUGAUGGUACUGGAAGAAUAAGCACCGGCUAACUACGUGCCAGCAGCCGCGGUAAUACGUAGGGUGCGAGCGUUAAUCGGAAUUACUGGGCGUAAAGCGUGCGCAGGCGGUCUUGUAAGACAGUCGUGAAAGCCCCGGGCUUAACCUGAGAACUGCGAUUGUGACUGCAAGGCUAGAGUGUGUCAGAGGGGGGUGGAAUUCCACGUGUAGCAGUGAAAUGCGUAGAGAUGUGGAGGAACACCGAUGGCGAAGGCAGCCCCCUGGGAUAACACUGACGCUCAUGCACGAAAGCGUGGGGAGC